GCAAUUCUCCUGCCUCAGCCUCCCAAGUAGCUGGGAUUACAGAUCAUCUCUCUACUGACCUUUUAGUGGCUUAGCAUUUUGUUGCAAUGCACAAGUGAAGUUGGGAAACAGAGCCAAGUGACAAGCUGUGAAGUAACAGCUCAGCCUUCACAAAGCAAAUGUGCUUUGUGCACUUCCUUGCCAGAGCAGAUGUGGCCUUGGUGGACUGUGGGGAGCAUCAUCUCUCAGGUAAAAAUAAAUUACUAAGAUUAGGACCAAAUGAUGCAAAUCCUUUCAUUUGCAAACAGAUCAUGAACUGGCAGCCAUGUGGAAAGAAGACUAGACUGCGAAUCACUUAGGAUCCCACCCUCGGUUUAGUCUAGAAUACUCUGCGAAUCAGCUUUUUGGCCCUAGUGGAUGACAAGAACUGAGACAAAUCACCAAUGGGCACAAACUAAUAAUUGGAGAGAUACAACUUCUGGAAUGACAGUGUGAGGAGCUCAAAGCUGCUCCCAUACAAAACAGCUUUAACUGGUGAAAAUUAUUUUUAAAAACUAGCACCUAUUUAAAGUCUCUGUAAAUUUCCUAAGGGCAUACAGGAAAUGAAGACAUAUUUAUUCAAGAAAAUCUAUAUGGUCAACUAAUAUUUUUCUAGUGCGCCAAAAACACACAAUGUAAGGAAAGUUUCUUCAAUAAAUGGUGUUGGGCAGACUGGA
rnacentral:lncRNA from 1 species